rnacentral:lncRNA from 1 species
UCAUCUUGUCCCUGUGAAUUUCCACAUUGGCCGUCUUUUUCAGUGUCCCGUCUCUGACUCUAAAAGUUGGUGUUCCUUAGGUUUCCCUCCUUUUCUUCUCAUAUAUAUUCUCCUUGGAUCUCAUGUAUUUUUCUAGGUUUAAGUGGUUGACCAUGUCUACAUUUACGCCUCCAGCUCUGAUUCAUGUCCUCCUCUCUAGAAUUUCCUAGCACCCUGAGCAGGAUUAAUUAAUUUUUGGCCAAAGUUAGCUGGCAUUAACUUGACUAAGGAAAACAAAUGAACAUCACGGACCUGCCCUGAAGCCCUCAUCAGUGGUCAUGAAGUCAGCAAUUGGAAUCAAGCUAAUAUCACUCCACCCACAGACUCCCACCUUUACAUUCUAAUCUCUAGAGUUGAGGUCUGAAUAA